rnacentral:rRNA from 1 species
UACGAAGGGGGCUAGCGUUGUUCGGAAUUACUGGGCGUAAAGCGCGCGCAGGCGGUCUUCCAAGUCAGUGGUGAAAGCCCGGAGCUCAACUCCGGAACUGCCAUUGAAACUGUUAGACUUGAGGACGAGAGAGGUGAGUGGAAUUCCCAGUGUAGAGGUGAAAUUCGUAGAUAUUGGGAAGAACACCGGUGGCGAAGGCGGCUCACUGGCUCGUUUCUGACGCUGAGGUGCGAAAGCGUGGGGAGCAAACAGG